UCAUUCUGGUGGUCUUGACAGGAAGUGGAUUCUGAUACGGCGGACUGUUAAUCCGUAUGUCACUGGUUCGAGUCCAGUCAGAGGAGCCA
rnacentral:tRNA from 1 species